rnacentral:lncRNA from 1 species
GCCUGAACCCAUUUAUAGUGAACUAGUAGAUUUGGCACCUCCUCCAUGUCGAUCUAGUAGGAUCUCUCAUCUUCCUAAAAGGUACUUAUGUAUACUUAUAGUGGAUGUUGAGGAAGUAUUCCUAAUAGGAGAUAGAGACCAUAAAGAUGAUCCCAAAAUCUAUAAUGAGACGAUGUUAGAUAUUGAUUCUAAGAAAUGAAAGAAAGCAAUGAAGUCAGAAAUUGACUCCAUACAUUCCAACC